AUCUGAAAACAUAAAAAAAAAACACACUCUCUCUCUCUCGUGCAACCCUGAAUCCCCAAAUUAAGAAAUUUUAACCCUCAGUUCUCUCUUAGUAACAUGGUUCCUCAUAGAUUCGGUCAUGUCCGAACUCUGAUUUACCACUACAGCCUUCGGUUCACAUAGGAGAAGUAAAUCCGAAAUCCACUUAACGAACCCUAGAUCUCUUUUGAAAUUCUCAGUUCCGUGGAAGGUCGUGGCUUUAUUAACUUUUUUCUCAGCUGUUUCUUCAGAAGCACAACCUCAUCUCCUGUUGAAGCUAUUCAAUUGACCUACAAAUCGUGGCAUCAAGAGAGAUGAGUCCAAAAACAUAUCUAAAAAGGUUGUCUGAAGAGCGAAAAUGCCACUGCAACACCGAAGCAUGAAUCAUAACUGUCACUUGGCAAGUUUGCAAAUGGUCGAGGAAUCAGUUGGCAUAGAUGCACGGGAAUCCAUUAAAGAAGCAGCUGUGGAGUUAUAGCCAAACUGUUCACCAUUUACUUACAAACCAGCUAGUCUUUUCAUGUUUUAAAAACAAACUUAUUGACUGCUAUGUAGUAUUUCAUGUUUCAGAAUCAUUAUAUACUUGAUGACUAGAA